rnacentral:lncRNA from 1 species
UAAGGAUGGAACCACGAAAGCAGCGGCAGUGAAGGACUCGUACCGUUCAGAGCGUCAGUGCAGAAUAAAUCUAAUGAGCUGAAUGUCUCAGGAGGCAUCCAAGGGUUCCAAAAUUGGAACAUAAUACAUGAGAAUCCGAGGGGAGAGGUGCUCGUUGGUGGAGAACCUCUUUAUUCUAUGGUGCACUGACAUCACCUGGAUUUCCAGUCACGUGAUUAACAUCAGCCUCAGGAUAAACUGGGAGAGCAAGUGAUCCCUGUUCAGUUAAGAGCAUGGGCUCUACGUUCAAACCUCAGCUGCACAGCUUGGGACCAAGUGACUUGGGUGAGUUAC